AACGAACGCUGGCGGCAUGCCUAACACAUGCAAGUCGAACGAGACCUCCGGGACUAGUGGCGCACGGGUGUGUAACGCGUGGGAAGCUGCCCUUAGGGUCGGAAUAACUCCCCGAAAGGGGUGCUAAUACCGGAUAAUGUCUUCUGACCAAAGAUUUAUCGCCCUUGGAUGGGCCCGCGUUGGAUUAGCUAGUUGGUAGGGUAAAAGCCUACCAAGGCGACGAUCCAUAGCUGGUAUGAGAGGAUGAUCAGCGACACUGGGACUAAGACGCGGCCGGGACUCCUACGGGAUGCAGGAGUGGGUGAUAUUGGAACAUGGGCGAAGGGCUGAAGCAGCAAUGCCGGGUGAGUGAUGAAGGCCUUAGGGUUGUAAAGCUCUUUUAACCGGGAUGAUAAUGACGGUACCGAGAGAAUAAGCCCCGGCUAACUCCGUG
rnacentral:rRNA from 1 species